UACGGAGGUGGCAAGCGUUGUUCGGAAUUAUUGGGCGUAAAGAGUAUGUAGGCGGCUAGAUAAGUCAGACGUGUAAGCCCAUGGCUCAACCAUGGAAUUGCGUUUGAAACUAUUUAGCUUGAGUGCAGGAGAGGAAAGCGGAAUUCCCAGUGUAGCGGUGAAAUGCAUUGAUAUUGGGAAGAACACCGGUGGCGAAGGCGGCUUUCUGGUCUGUUACUGACGCUGAGAUACGAAAGCCAGGGGAGCAAAGGGG
rnacentral:rRNA from 1 species